rnacentral:rRNA from 1 species
CCGGCGCACGGGUGAGUAACACGUAUCCAACCUGCCGAUAACUCGGGGAUAGCCUUUCGAAAGAAAGAUUAAUAUCCGAUGGUAUAUUAAAACCGCAUGGUUUUACUAUUAAAGAAUUUCGGUUAUCGAUGGGGAUGCGUUCCAUUAGUUUGUUGGUGGGGUAACGGCCCACCAAGACUACGAUGGAUAGGGGUUCUGAGAGGAAGGUCCCCCACAUUGGAACUGAGACACGGUCCA